rnacentral:misc_RNA from 1 species
UCUAAGGAUGAUCCUUCAGCGAGCUCACGCUCACUAUCGGAUCGUUUUAGAAACAUCAGUGGCCAACAGAUCGCCAGAUCGUUGAGCUGCAUUGGCGGGAUUUCGCCGUCUUCGUUUCUCUUUCUUCGCGGACGAACACGCGCUGGGCCUGCAACGGCAGGAUCCAGGGUCCUUAACGGGAUGUGCGUUAGGGGCUUGUAGCUCAGUUGGUUAGAGCGCGCGCUUGAUAAGCGUGAGGUCGGAAGUUCAAGUCUUCCCAGGCCCACCACUUUCAUCGAGUGAGCAUUCGUCUUCUGGUUACGGGGCCAUAGCUCAGCUGGGAGAGCGCGUGCUUUGCAAGCAUGAGGUCGUCGGUUCGAUCCCGUCUGGCUCCACCAGAUGGUUUGAUCACCGAGAUCUUGACCGUCGUCCGCGAAACAUCACUUCGCAUCCUGCUAGUCUGGAUAGACAGCAGUUUGCGUGUUUUCUGACAUCGUAAAGAGGAGAUCGAUCCGAGUUGGGUCGUGCAGCAUAUCGUUGCGCUAGCCUUCAUUAUCUCCGGAUCAUUUCGGCGCUCGCUUCCAGCCGUGAGGUUGGAUGCGGGUUGUAAAUGAUCCUUUUAGCGAAGCUUGACCGCCUCGCUAUCGGAACGAUCUUACGAAGCAAGCUGGUCUUUCUAGUCAAUGUCCGGCUGCGGAUAGCGUUCAUCGAGGGCGCGUGCCGCAAGGCAAUUCUGCAGACAACAUUCUGCCGAGUGUGUGGACAUUGAUAAUGAGAGCAAUCAAGUGCCUUAAGGGUGUUCGGUGGAUGCCUUGGCGCUGAGAGGCGAUGAAGGACGUGCUACGCUGCGAUAAGCCG